rfam:Candidate division WS6 bacterium 34_10 MPI_scaffold_1222, whole genome shotgun sequence.
GGGCGAUUAGCUCAGCUGGCUAGAGCAAUUCGUUUACACCGAAUAGGUCGUAGGUUCAAGUCCUACAUCGCCCA